UCGAUGCCUCGUAAUCAUGGUGAAGGAGCGACGACCCCUCGAUCUAUUCGCGACGCGAACGCCGCCGCCUGGCAGAUCCCAGGCGCUAGCCGUGGAUCCCUUUGCCGGCUCCGAGGGGUCGUGGAGGCGCCGCCGCCGAGGUCCUAAAGGAGGUGCCGCCGCCAUCGUUGUGGACCUCCGGGUCGCCACCGGGACACCUCUGCUGAGGUACGCCUUCGCCUUCGCACGCCGCCUACCUCUCCUAUCGCGAUCCCCUCGAUCCCCAUUUGCCGCCAUCGUACGCACCUCGAUCCCCUCGAACGCCCGCGCACAGCCGCCCUCUCCCGUCUCCCCCACACAUAGCUGCUCUCUUCCCCGCCAGUGCUGCCCUCUUCCCCGCCCUCAAGCGGGGAUGCCCCAGAUCGAGUCUCGCAAGUCAGCGGGGCAGCGGCCAGAUCUGCCUCGGCCACAUCUCGUCCAGAUGGAUGGCUCUAGGAGAGGUAGAUCAAGGGGACAGGUACCGUGUGGGUCUUCUCUUUCGGGACGCCGCUCCGACCCGAUCCGGUGAGGAGGCAACCUCUGUGUGCGGCAACGAGGGCGGCGGCCGGCUGCGUGAGAGGUCGAUCUGGUCGUGCCUCAUUGAUGGGAUCGGGAUGCCCACCGCCGACGGCGCUGCCUUGCUACCAAAGGGGCACCCUGCCGCGGCCAGGGACUCGCUACCGUCGAAGCACGACACCUCACCGCCACGUAUGUUGCGUGUUGUUGUGCUGCAGGUCCUUGGGGUUGGGUGCGGCAACUCGCGACUCGAAGAUGAUCUUUUCUGGUAGGGCGUCGCCGGCGGCGGCGGCACCUGCAUAGACCGUCUCGGUGCAACAGAAGAGUUCGGAGUUCACUCCCCGAGAGAACAGCUCUGCAUGUACAUUUGUUGAAAGACUGAUCUGCUGAACUUUCGAUGAUUUCGAUUUGUCUCUGACAUAACCUUUCCUCUUUUCGUUGAUACGUCCGAAAGAGAUCCUUAUUUCACCUUUUGUUUAUAGGUAUUCAACGUGAGGAAUUUCAUACUUUUGGAGUGGAGGAGUAAAUUGCACAAAAGUACCACAAUUGGGGCAUUGGAAACAGAUUGGUACCAAGUUUCGUAAUUUUUACAUGUCAGUACCAAGUCUGGGACUAGACGGUACAAAAAGGUCUAAAUCGCGUAUAAACGCGUAUUGACAGUGUAUCUGACCGGCAGGGCCCGCCUGUCAGCUACUGACGUGGCAUUUUUUUGCAGAAACCCCCCGCACGGUGGCGCCCGGUCUGGAUCGAGGGGAGGAUCCCUCGAGCCCGAGCUCCCACUCGCAUCACCGCGGCCCCCGCUUGCGCCGGAGCUGCCCCUGCUCGCACCGCCGCGGCAUCUGCUCAUGCCGUCGUGGCCUCUACUCGCGCCUUCCCUCUCCGCCGCGGCCUCUCCUCGCGUCGUGGCCUCUCCCCCCUCCGCGGCGGCGCCCGAUCUGGAUCGAGGGGAGGAGCCCCUCGAGCCCGUGCUCCUUCGCCUCCCGUAACCCCCGCCCCGCCCUGGCCUCCNN
rnacentral:lncRNA from 1 species